GACGAACGCUGGCGGCGUGCUUAACACAUGCAAGUCGAACGAAGAGCGAUGGAAGCUUGCUUCUAUCAAUCUUAGUGGCGAACGGGUGAGUAACGCGUAAUCAACCUGCCCUUCAGAGGGGGACAACAGUUGGAAACGACUGCUAAUACCGCAUACGAUCUAAUCUCGGCAUCGAGGAUAGAUGAAAGGUGGCCUCUACAUGUAAGCUAUCACUGAAGGAGGGGAUUGCGUCUGAUUAGCUAGUUGGAGGGGUAACGGCCCACCAAGGCGAUGAUCAGUAGCCGGUCUGAGAGGAUGAGCGGCCACAUUGGGACUGAGACACGGCCCAGACUCCUACGGGAGGCAGCAGUGGGGAAUCUUCCGCAAUGGACGAAAGUCUGACGGAGCAACGCCGCGUGAGCGAUGACGGCCUUCGGGUUGUAAAGCUCUGUUAAUCGGGACGAAAGGCCUUCUUGCGAAUAGUGAGAAGGAUUGACGGUACCGGAAUAGAAAGCCACGGCUAACUACGUG
rnacentral:rRNA from 1 species